AGAUCCCAAAACAUAGAAACCCUUACACCCAUAGACCUCUCCCAUCGCCGCCUGCUCCCACCUUCUCCUCUCUUCUUUUUCCUCCUUCCCCACGCCAAAGGACAAUCAUGGCAGACGAAGCCCACAUCCCUCUCGUCCUUUCCUCACUAUUCACAACGUCACCAUGGUACUCGAAGCCAUGGAAAAGCUUCCACUCCGCCGAAUCCUCAACGGGAAUCAAAGUUGAAAUCGAUUCAAACACUCUUGGACCUAUUUCGUUGCUCAAAAUCAGGUAGACAGGGAGGCGACCCAGAUUUAUAGAAGCCAAUAAGCAGACUUUUGAGAGCCCUCCAUUAUUCCGGAAGUGCCAUUGAUUUACUAUUUAUGUACAUACAUGUUUUGGGCACGACGGGGUCCUGUCCCGUCCAUAUGUCUAGUACUCUAGUAGAGGCUCGUAGAUACGUAUGUGUGGGUAGUAUGGUCUCACGAUUUUCCACGUGCAUAUAUGUAUUAUGUGGAUAGCCAAAGGGCUUAUGCAUAUAAAGGUAAAUAUGUUUCAAAUGAAAAAUGAUUUUCCUA